AUGAAAUCUCUGCUGCUUUUCCUUUCUCUGAUCUCUGUCCCGUCCUGUGUCCUCUCCCAGGUGCAGCUGGUCCAGUCCGGCCCGGGAGUGGCGAAGCCCGGAGAGACCCUCACCCUGACCUGUGCUGUCUCCAGGUUCUCCAUCACUACUCGAUAUUACUACUGGAACUGGAUCCGGCAGCUCCCCGGGAAAGGGCUGGAGUGGAUGGGGUAUGUGUACCCAUAUAGUAGCGGGAGCACAAGCUACGCCCCAUCUCUCCAAGGCCGAAUCACCAUCUCUGCAGACACUGCCAAGAACCAGUUCUCCCUGCAGCUCCGCUCGCUGACAGCUGCAGACACCGCCACCUAUUACUGUGCCAGAGACACACACACCUAUGCGUGCACCGAGAAGAUCACGGUCUUUGCCUUCAGAAGAGAGUGA